rnacentral:piRNA from 1 species
UGUUGUCGAAUUGCCAUCCAGGA